rnacentral:rRNA from 1 species
UACGUAGGCAGCGAGCGUUGUUCGGAUUUACUGGGCGUAAAGAGUGCGUAGGCGGUUUUCUAAGUUUGGUGUGAAAUCUCCCGGCUUAACUGGGAGGGUGCGCCGAAGACUGGAAGGCUUGAGUAUGGGAGAGGUAAGCGGAAUUCCUGGUGUAGCGGUGAAAUGCGUAGAUAUCAGGAGGAACACCUGCGGUGUAGACGGCUUACUGGACCAUAACUGACGCUGAGGCACGAAAGCGUGGGUAGCAAACAGG